GACGAACGCUGGCGGCGUGCCCUUUACAUGCAAGUCGAGCGCUAAAAGAGAGAAUCUGGCUCCCCGGACGAGUAGCGAACGGGAGAUGAACAACACAGGGAACCCGCCGGGAGACGAGGGGGAACUAUUGGAAACGACAGCGAAUACCGCAGAAUAGGAGAUGAAGCACGACGUUUGCUUAAGAAGAGCAGUUGCUUCACUACCAUAUGGACGGGCGGUGAACGAGCUAGCUGGUGGGGUAACGAACUCACCGACGGGACGAUACAUAACCGACCGAACAGGGAGAGCGACCACACUGGGACUGACACACAGCCCGGACACAAACGGGAGGCAGCAGUAGGGAAUCGUCGGCAAGGGACGGAAGACUGACCGAGCAACGCCGCGUGAGAGAAGAAGGUUUUCGGAUCGUACAGCUCUGUUGUAAGAGAAGAACGAGGGUGAAAGUGGAGAGUUCGCACCGUGACGGUAUCUUACCAGAAAGGGACGGCUAACUACUUGCCGGCAGACGCGGUAAUACGUAGGCCCCGAGCGUUGUGCGGAUAUAUUGGGCGUAAAGCGCGCGUAGGCGGUUUUUUAAGUCUGAUGUGAAAGCCCACGGCUCAACCGUGGAGGGUCAUUGGAAACUGGAAAACUUGAGUGCAGAAGAGGAAAGUGGAAUUCCAUGUGUAGCGGUGAAAUGCGCAGAGAUAUGGAGGAACACCAGUGGCGAAGGCGACUUUCUGGUCUGUAACUGACGCUGAUGUGCGAAAGCGUGGGGAUCAAACAGGAUUAGAUACCCUGGUAGUCCACGCCGUAAACGAUGAGUGCUAAGUGUUAGGGGGUUUCCGCCCCUUAGUGCUGCAGCUAACGCAUUAAGCACUCCGCCUGGGGAGUACGACCGCAAGGUUGAAACUCAAAGGAAUUGACGGGGACCCGCACAAGCGGUGGAGCAUGUGGUUUAAUUCGAAGCAACGCGAAGAACCUUACCAAAUCUUGACAUCCUCUGACCCCUCUAGAGAUAGAGUUUUCCCCUUCGGGGGACAGAGUGACAGGUGGUGCAUGGUUGUCGUCAGCUCGUGUCGUGAGAUGUUGGGUUAAGUCCCGCAACGAGCGCAACCCUUAAGCUUAGUUGCCAUCAUUAAGUUGGGCACUCUAAGUUGACUGCCGGUGACAAACCGGAGGAAGGUGGGGAUGACGUCAAAUCAUCAUGCCCCUUAUGAUUUGGGCUACACACGUGCUACAAUGGACAAUACAAAGGGCAGCGAAACCGCGAGGUCAAGCAAAUCCCAUAAAGUUGUUCUCAGUUCGGAUUGUAGUCUGCAACUCGACUAUAUGAAGCUGGAAUCGCUAGUAAUCGUAGAUCAGCAUGCUACGGUGAAUACGUUCCCGGGUCU
rnacentral:rRNA from 1 species